AAGCAGGGGAUCGUAAGGCCUUGCGCUUUUGGAGCGGCCGAUGUCUGAUUAGCUAGUUGGUGGGGUAAGGGCCUACCAAGGCGACGAUCAGUAGUUGGUCUGAGAGGACGACCAGCCACACUGGGACUGAGACACGGCCCAGACUCCUACGGGAGGCAGCAGUGGGGAAUUUUGGACAAUGGGCGCAAGCCUGAUCCAGCAAUGCCGCGUGAGUGAAGAAGGCCUUCGGGUUGUAAAGCUCUUUCAGUCGAGAAGAAAAGGCUACGGUAAAUAAUCGUAGUUCAUGACGGUACCGACAGAAGAAGCACCGGCUAACUACGUGCCAGCAGCCGCGGUAAUACGUAGGGUGCGAGCGUUAAUCGGAAUUACUGGGCGUAAAGGGUGCGCAGGCGGCUUUGUAAGUCAGAUGUGAAAUCCCCGGGCUUAACCUGGGAAUUGCGUUUGAAACUACAAAGCUAGA
rnacentral:rRNA from 1 species